CAUAGCGGCGAUAGUAUGUUGAAUGGUACCAGCUAUCACUGACAUUAAGCAACAUUGCUUGUGGUUGGUAUCUGGAUGGGUGACAGUCUGGACAAUCGCGUGCUGAUGGCU
rfam:Asian citrus Psyllid, Diaphorina citri - Florida Strain, whole genome shotgun sequence.